AUAAGUGCAUCAGGUGGAUGCCUUGGCGAUGAUAGGCGACGAAGGACGUGUAAGCCUGCGAAAAGCGCGAAGCGAACCCGGAGAACUGAACCAUCUAAGUACCCGGAGGAAAAGAAAUCAACCGAGAUUCCGCAAGUAGUGGCGAGCGAACGCGGAGGAGCCUGUACGUGAUAACUGUCGAGAUAGAAGAACAAGCUGGGAAGCUUGACCAUAGUGGGUGAUAGUCCCGUAUUCGAAAUCUCAAUAGUGGUACUAAGCGUACGAAAAGUAGGGCGGGACACGUGAAAUCCUGUCUGAAUAUGGGGGGACCAUCCUCCAAGGCUAAAUACUCAUCAUCGACCGAUAGUGAACCAGUACCGUGAGGGAAAGGCGAAAAGAACCCCGGGAGGGGAGUGAAAUAGAACCUGAAACCUGAUGCAUACAAACAGUGGGAGCACCCUUGUGGUGUGACUGCGUACCUUUUGUAUAAUGGGUCAACGACUUACAUUCAGUAGCGAGCUUAACCGAAUAGGGGAGGCGUAGGGAAACCGAGUCUUAAUAGGGCGAACAGUUGCUGGGUGUAGACCCGAAACCGAGUGAUCUAUCCAUGGCCAGGUUGAAGGUGCCGUAACAGGUACUGGAGGACCGAACCCACGCAUGUUGCAAAAUGCGGGGAUGAGCUGUGGAUAGGGGUGAAAGGCUAAACAAACUCGGAGAUAGCUGGUUCUCCCCGAAAACUAUUUAGGUAGUGCCUCGAGCAAGACACUGAUGGGGGUAAAGCACUGUUAUGGCUAGGGGGUUAUUGCAACUUACCAACCCAUGGCAAACUAAGAAUACCAUCAAGUGGUUCCUCGGGAGACAGACAGCGGGUGCUAACGUCCGUUGUCAAGAGGGAAACAACCCAGACCGCCAGCUAAGGUCCCAAAUGAUAGAUUAAGUGGUAAACGAAGUGGGAAGGCCCAGACAGCCAGGAUGUUGGCUUAGAAGCAGCCAUCAUUUAAAGAAAGCGUAAUAGCUCACUGGUCGAGUCGUCCUGCGCGGAAGAUGUAACGGGGCUCAAAUCUAUAACCGAAGCUGCGGAUGCCAGUUUACUGGCAUGGUAGGGGAGCGUUCUGUAGGCCGAUGAAGGUGCAUUGUAAAGUGUGCUGGAGGUAUCAGAAGUGCGAAUGUUGACAUGAGUAGCGAUAAAGCGGGUGAAAAGCCCGCAUACCACGCUUCCAGGAAAAGCCACUAAGCUUCAGUUUGAAUCGAACCGUACCGCAAACCGACACAGGUGGGCAGGAUGAGAAUUCUAAGGCGCUUGAGAGAACUCGGGAGAAGGAACUCGGCAAAUUGAUACCGUAACUUCGGGAGAAGGUAUGCCCUCUAAGGUUAAGGACUUGCUCCGUAAGCCCUGGAGGGUCGCAGAGAAUAGGUGGCUGCGACUGUUUAUUAAAAACACAGCACUCUGCUAACACGAAAGUGGACGUAUAGGGUGUGACGCCUGCCCGGUGCUGGAAGGUUAAUUGAAGAUGUGCAAGCAUCGGAUCGAAGCCCCAGUAAACGGCGGCCGUAACUAUAACGGUCCUAAGGUAGCGAAAUUCCUUGUCGGGUAAGUUCCGACCCGCACGAAUGGCGUAACGAUGGCCACACUGUCUCCUCCCGAGACUCAGCGAAGUUGAAGUGGUUGUGAAGAUGCAAUCUACCCGCUGCUAGACGGAAAGACCCCGUGAACCUUUACUGUAGCUUUGCAUUGGACUUUGAAGUCACUUGUGUAGGAUAGGUGGGAGGCUUUGAAGCAGAGACGCCAGUCUCUGUGGAGCCGUCCUUGAAAUACCACCCUGGUGUCUUUGAGGUUCUAACCCAGACCCGUAAUCCGGGUCGGGGACCGUGCAUGGUAGGCAGUUUGACUGGGGCGGUCUCCUCCCAAAGAGUAACGGAGGAGUUCGAAGGUUACCUAGGUCCGGUCGGAAAUCGGACUGAUAGUGCAAUGGCAAAAGGUAGCUUAACUGCGAGACCGACAAGUCGAGCAGGUGCGAAAGCAGGACAUAGUGAUCCGGUGGUUCUGUAUGGAAGGGCCAUCGCUCAACGGAUAAAAGGUACUCCGGGGAUAACAGGCUGAUUCCGCCCAAGAGUUCAUAUCGACGGCGGAGUUUGGCACCUCGAUGUCGGCUCAUCACAUCCUGGGGCUGUAGUCGGUCCCAAGGGUAUGGCUGUUCGCCAUUUAAAGUGGUACGUGAGCUGGGUUUAAAACGUCGUGAGACAGUUUGGUCCCUAUCUGCAGUGGGCGUUGGAAGUUUGACGGGGGCUGCUCCUAGUACGAGAGGACCGGAGUGGACGAACCUCUGGUGUACCGGUUGUAACGCCAGUUGCAUAGCCGGGUAGCUAAGUUCGGAAGAGAUAAGCGCUGAAAGCAUCUAAGCGCGAAACUCGCCUGAAGAUGAGACUUCC
rnacentral:rRNA from 1 species